GGCUGUUUAAAGGGACAGAGCGCCGACCGCGCGCGCGCGCACUCGUCGCCAGGUGCACCUCUCCGCACCCCUGGGCCCUUCGUGCAGAUGCUCACUGAUUCCCUGUCAAACAAAGAACAGGACCCACAUCCCUGUCCAGACCCUGAAAGGGUGUGACCAGGAGACACCGGUGGGCUCUUCAUUCAUCACCACCACCACCAUCAC
rnacentral:lncRNA from 1 species